rnacentral:tRNA from 2 species
UUCGACCUGGUCGAGUCCAAGGACGACUUCCUCGCUCUCGCCGAGGGCGACACGCCCACGCACGUGCUCGGAACCGCGCAGGUCGCGG